UAGGUAUACUUUUUGUUGGGCCAAAUA
rnacentral:sRNA from 1 species